UACAGAGGGGGCAAGCGUUGUUCGGAAUUACUGGGCGUAAAGGGCGCGUAGGCGGCCUGUUAAGUCGAACGUGAAAUCCCCGGGCUCAACCCGGGAACUGCGUCCGAUACUGGCAGGCUUGAAUUCGGGAGAGGGAUGUGGAAUUCCAGGUGUAGCGGUGAAAUGCGUAGAUAUCGCUUGGAACGCCAAUGGUGAAAACAGGUAGCUGGGGGUGUGCUGACACUGAGACACGAAAGCCAGGGGAGCAAACGGG
rnacentral:rRNA from 1 species